rnacentral:rRNA from 1 species
AGCGAACGCUGGCGGCAGGCUUAACACAUGCAAGUCGAGCGGGCACUUCGGUGUCAGCGGCAGACGGGUGAGUAACACGUGGGAACGUACCCUUUGGUUCGGAAUAACGCUGGGAAACUAGCGCUAAUACCGGAUACGCCCUUUUGGGGAAAGGCUUGCUGCCGAAGGAUCGGCCCGCGUCUGAUCAGCUAGUUGGUGGGGUAAUGGCCUACCAAGGCGACGAUCAGUAGCUGGUCUGAGAGGAUGAUCAGCCACACUGGGACUGAGACACGGCCCAGACUCCUACGGGAGGCAGCAGUGGGGAAUAUUGGACAAUGGGCGCAAGCCUGAUCCAACCAUGCCGCGUGAGUGAUGAAGGCCUUAGGGUUGUAAAGCUCUUUUGUCCGGGACGAUAAUGACGGUACCGGAAGAAUAAGCCCCGGCUAACUUCGUG